GGAGGGAUGGCCGAGUGGACGAAGGCAGCGGUCUUGAAAACCGCCGUGGGUGAAGACCCACCGAGGGUUCGAAUCCCUCUCCCUCCG
rnacentral:tRNA from 1 species